CACCGACAUCAGCGAUUCGUUCUGCGAGCCUGCGCCUACCGCCAGGUAGGAGUGCAUGCCGAGCUCUUUCAUCUGCUGCUCGCCAAUCACGCGAGUGACGACAUUUUUGCUGUAAGCAUCCGCUAACUGGCGCGCCUGAGAGGCGAGGUAGGCGGCGUUGCAGAUGUUCGGCGGCAUAUUGCCGAGAUCUUUCGC
rfam:Cronobacter sp. DJ34 Bact_Abyss2_96, whole genome shotgun sequence.